AGUGAACGCUGGCGGUAGGCCUAACACAUGCAAGUCGAACGGCAGCACAGUAAGAGCUUGCUCUUACGGGUGGCGAGUGGCGGACGGGUGAGGAAUACAUCGGAAUCUACUUUUUCGUGGGGGAUAACGUAGGGAAACUUACGCUAAUACCGCAUACGACCUACGGGUGAAAGCAGGGGAUCUUCGGACCUUGCGCGAUUGAAUGAGCCGAUGUCGGAUUAGCUAGUUGGCGGGGUAAAGGCCCACCAAGGCGACGAUCCGUAGCUGGUCUGAGAGGAUGAUCAGCAACACUGGAACUGAGACACGGUCCAGACUCCUACGGGAGGCAGAAGUGGGGAAUAUUGGACAAUGGGCGCAAGCCUGAUCCAGACAUACCGCGUGGGUGAAGAAGGCCUUCGGGUUGUAAAGACCUUUUGUUGGGAAAGAAAAGCAGCAGGUUAAUACCCCGCUGUUCUGACGGUACCCAAAGAAUAAGCACCGGCCAACUUCGUG
rnacentral:rRNA from 1 species